CACGUAGGGCGCAAGCGUUGUCCGGAAUUAUUGGGCGUAAAGAGCUCGUAGGCGGUCUGUUACGUCUGCUGUGAAAACCCGGGGCUUAACCCUGGGCUUGCAGUGGAUACGGGCAGACUAGAGGCAGGUAGGGGAGAAUGGAAUUCCCGGUGUAGCGGUGAAAUGCGCAGAUAUCGGGAGGAACACCAGUGGCGAAGGCGGCGAUCUGGGAAGAUACUGACGCUGAGGUGCGAAAGCGUGGGGAGCAAACAGG
rnacentral:rRNA from 1 species